rnacentral:rRNA from 1 species
UACAGAGGUCCCAAGCGUUGUUCGGAUUCACUGGGCGUAAAGGGUGCGUAGGUGGCGAGGUAAGUCGGAUGUGAAAGCUCGGAGCUCAACUCCGAAAUGGCAUUGGAAACUACCUUGCUCGAGGGUUGGAGGGGGGACUGGAAUUCUCGGUGUAGCAGUGAAAUGCGUAGAUAUCAGGAGGAACACCAAUGGCGAAGGCAGCACUCUGGGACGUGACUGACGCUGAGACGCGAAAGCGUGGGGAGCAAACAGG